GAACACAAAAUGGCGACACGUGGUUAGCAUUCGUCGCCAACGAGAAAUUGGGGUCGGCCCGAAAGCUCUAGAAUGCACCCCUCUUCCUCCCCGGGGCCUUCCACCUCCGCGAGUUUUAUGACUUAAAAAAGCCCACAGGCUGGUCUGAAGAGGAAGACAAACAUAAAGAUGAAGUGCUUAAUUCAAGGUCACACAAUGUCGGGGAUGGACCUCCAGAUUUCCUUACUGGAAAACAAGCUCAGGGCUCCCACUGAUUGUACAUUAUGGUGAGACGUGGUCUUGUAACACAGUGGUUAAGAAUGUGACUUUGGAGCCAGCCUGCUAGGGGCUGAAUUCUGACUCAGCCAUUUACUAACUGUGUGACCUUAGGGAGGAGGACCUGGUUGAUAGAAGAAUUUAUCUCGUAGUCUUAACAUCCACUGUAAUUCCAAACUUUGAGGACGAUAGAGAUCAGUGGGCUUUGACUGCCCAGCAUGCAGUCUCCAUUCUUAGGUCACAGAAUUUUCCACACUCCUUGACAGAGGUGCUUAACCCUUAUCCAUCAGCAUUCUCAGACAGCACCUCCGGUUAGGGACAGUAUCUGACCGUCCGACAUCCCUGCAGCCCCCAUGUGUCACACAGACUCAGCCUCAGGUAGAUGGUUUCCGUAGAUGGUGGCUUUCUUUGGACCCUUGACAUCAACCAGUUACUAUUUGCAGGGCCACACAUAACAAAUAGAAGCAGAGCAAGCCCUGGAACUCCUGCCUGACAGUGACACGACGACAGAAACAUCUUACCAGUCAGAGGACCAUGAGAAAUAGAUUCAAGGAGCAUUCCACGUGCAAGUGAGUCUUGGCCCCAUCUGCCUUUGGAUUUUAGCCGUGAACUGGAAGGUAUUGGAAAGAAGACCCUCAGAAAUAGCUUAAUCAAAAUCCCUGCGUCUGAACCAAGUGCCUUAUUUCUCUGUGGGCCUCAAGCUUCGCUGACAUCUGUGGAGCACACUGUCCUAACAGGAGUGCUGUCUGAUUUCCCAACGCUCUGCAAAACAAACAGCCUGGAAGGGUGGCUGGUGGAAGGUGGUUUUUAGAGAGAGACUUGUAGAUAACAGGAAAGUGAAGGCUGUAAGGAAGGUUGUAAUUAAACAGCACAUGGAAACACAAUCACAUUAUUGUCCCAUUCCAUAGGGAUAAUGAUGACCACUUCAGUGGGAAAAGGAGAGGUUUUAAGUCAUUAGGGACUAUGGGCCACCUUUUAGGAAGAUUUAUUUUCAAAGGUUAAAAUAGUGUUUUGGCAAUUCAAGUUUCAUUUUCAGAAAAUGUAAUUGAUGGGAACCUCAGUGACUCUGGAUGAAUAAGAUGCUGUUGAGUGGCUCUGACUUGGGCCAGCCGUGCUUCUCACAGGACCUUGGAGACCAAGGUCACUGUGAUCUCAGGUUCAGGGGGCAAGUCCUCUCCACACAGCCCUAGUUGGCCUCACAGCUGAAAAUGUCUCCCUUACUGUUGGACUCCUUUGUUCACCCACAUGAGUUUGUGAAUAAAUCCUUUCCAGUCUGAAA
rnacentral:lncRNA from 1 species